rnacentral:rRNA from 1 species
AGUGAACGCUGGCGGUAGGCCUAACACAUGCAAGUCGAACGGCAGCACAGGAGAGCUUGCUCUCUGGGUGGCGAGUGGCGGACGGGUGAGGAAUACAUCGGAAUCUACUCUGUCGUGGGGGAUAACGUAGGGAAACUUACGCUAAUACCGCAUACGACCUACGGGUGAAAGCAGGGGACCUUCGGGCCUUGCGCGAUUGAAUGAGCCGAGGUCGGAUUAGCUAGUUGGCGGGGUAAAGGCCCACCAAGGCGACGAUCCGUAGCUGGUCUGAGAGGAGGGUCAGCCACACUGGAACUGAGACACGGGCCAGACUCCUACGGGAGGCAGCAGGGGGGAAUAUUGGACAAUGGGCGCAAGCCUGAUCCAGCCAUACCGCGUGGGUGAAGAAGGCCUUCGGGUUGUAAAGCCCUUUUGUUGGGAAAGAAAUCCAGCUGGCUAAUACCCGGUUGGGAUGACGGUACCCAAAGAAUAAGCACCGGCUAACUUCGUGCCAGCCGCCGCGGUAA